rnacentral:tRNA from 1 species
UCCCUGGUGGUUUAAAAGGUUAAGACCCAGUGUUGUCACUGCUGUGGCACAGAUUCGAUCCCUGGCCUGGGAA